rnacentral:rRNA from 1 species
AGAGUUUGAUCCUGGCUCAGGACGAACGCUGGCGGCAUGCCUAACACAUGCAAGUCGAACGAGAAAGUUCCUUCGGGAGCGAUUAAAGUGGCGCACGGGUGAGUAACGCGUAGACAAUCUGCCCUUCAGUCUGGGACAACUUUUCGAAAGGAGAGCUAAUACCGGAUAACAAUGUUUAACCUAAGUUAAGUAUUUGAAAGCUUUAUGUGCUGAAGGAGGGGUCUGCGUCCCAUUAGCUAGUUGGUAGGGUAAAGGCUUACCAAGGCGACGAUGGGUAGCGGGUUUGAGAGGACGAUCCGCCACACUGGAACUGAGACACGGUCCAGACUCCUACGGGAGGCAGCAGUGGGGAAUAUUGCACAAUGGAGGCAACUCUGAUGCAGCAAUGUCGCGUGAGUGAAGAAGGCCCUUGGGUCGUAAAGCUCUUUUAUGGGGGAAGAUGAUGACGGUACCCCAAGAAUAAGCACCGGCUAACUAUGUGCCAGCAGCCGCGGUAAUACAUAGGGUGCGAGCGUUGUUCGGAAUUACUGGGCGUAAAGGGCGCGCAGGCGGAAUAGUAAGUCGGAGGUGAAAGCCCGGGGCUCAACCCCGGAGGGUCUUUCGAAACUGCUAAUCUAGAGAGGGUCAGGGGCCGGCAGAAUUCCUGGUGUAGAGGUGAAAUUCGUAGAUAUCAGGAGGAAUACCGGUGGCGAAGGCGGCCGGCUGGGGCCACUCUGACGCUGAGGCGCGAAAGCGUGGGGAGCAAACAGGAUUAGAUACCCUGGUAGUCCACGCCGUAAACGAUGAGCACUGGACGUCCGGAGGGUUCGACCCUUCUGGGUGUCUCAGCUAACGCAUUAAGUGCUCCGCCUGGGGAGUACGGUCGCAAGACUAAAACUCAAAGGAAUUGACGGGGGCCCGCACAAGCGGUGGAACAUGUGGUUUAAUUCGAUGCAACGCGAAGAACCUUACCUGGUCUUGACAUCCUCGGACCGCUUCAGAGAUGAAGUUUCCUCUUCGGAGGCCGAGUGACAGGUGCUGCAUGGCUGUCGUCAGCUCGUGUCGUGAGAUGUUGGGUUAAGUCCCGUAACGAGCGCAACCCCUAUCCUUAUUUGCCAGCACAUUAUGGUGGGAACUAUAAGGAGACUGCCGGUGAUAAACCGGAGGAAGGCGGGGACGACGUCAAGUCAUCAUGGCCCUUACGACCAGGGCUACACACGUGCUACAAUGGGAAGGACAAAGAGCCGCGAAGCCGCGAGGUGUAGCUAAUCUCAUAAAUCUUUUCGUAGUCCGGAUUGGAGUCUGCAACUCGACUCCAUGAAGUCGGAAUCGCUAGUAAUCGUAGAUCAGAAUGCUACGGUGAAUACGUUCCCGGGUCUUGUACACACCGCCCGUCAUACCAUGGGAGUGGGUUGCACCAGAAGUGGCUAGUCUAACUUUGUGAGGACGGUCACCACGGUGUGAUUCAUGACUGGGGUAAAGUCGUAACAAGGUAACC